rnacentral:rRNA from 1 species
UUUUGGACAAUGGGCGCAAGCCUGACGACGCAACGCCGCGUGGAGGAUGAAGAUCUUCGGGUCGUAAACUCCUGUCGACCGGGACGAAUGCCGUGCGGGUGAAUAAUCCGCGCGGGUGACGGUACCGGUGGAGGAAGCCCCGGCUCACUCCGUGCCAGCAGCCGCGGUAAUACGGGGGGGGCAAGCGUUGUUCGGAAUUACUGGGCGUAAAGGGCUCGUAGGUGGCCAACUCAGUCGGACGUGAAAUCCCUCGGCUUAACCGGGGAACUGCGUCCGAUACUGGAUGGCUUGAGAUCGGGAGAGGGAUGCGGAAUUCCAGGUGUAGCGGUGAAAUGCGUAGAUAUCUGGAGGAACACCGGUGGCGAAGGCGGCAUCCUGGACCGACACUGACACUGAGGAGCGAAAGCCAGGGGAGCAAAC